rnacentral:tRNA from 1 species
GCCUGUUCCGGGUUCGUGGAGCCUGUGCACUCGUGAUGCGUAAGUCGCGGGUUCGAAUCCCGCAGGCGGCU